UCUAUAAUAAGCUAAAUUUUAUUUAUAAAGCUUUUAAAUUUUUAAUUUAAAAAUGAUUAGAUAUCUUAUAGAA
rnacentral:tRNA from 1 species